rnacentral:tRNA from 2 species
GUUAAUGUAGCUUAAACAAUAAAGCAGGGCACUGAAAAUGCCCAGAUGAGCCACCCCGGCUCCAUAAACA